rnacentral:rRNA from 1 species
UGCGUAGGUGGCAAGCGUUGUCCGGAUUUACUGGGCGUAAAGAGCGCGCAGGCGGUCGUUCAAGUCGCGUGUGAAAGCCCCCGGCUCAACUGGGGAGGGUCACGCGAUACUGAUCGACUCGAAGGCAGGAGAGGGUAGUGGAAUUCCCGGUGUAGUGGUGAAAUGCGUAGAUAUCGGGAGGAACACCAGUGGCGAAGGCGGCUUGCUGGGCCGAUGCUGACGCUGAGGCGCGAAAGCGUGGGGAGCAAACAGG